UUGAGAAUCCGGUGGAGCCAAGGUACCCCAGCAAGGUGUCCUCUUUCCAUGAGACCCAUCUUACCAUGGGAUGCAGACUGAAAGACUUCCUGUGAAAAAAUACAGCAGUCUCAAUUCCAGCUUUCAUCUGCUCUGACUGCUGAUAAUUGCCUGCCUGUGAUGGCCUAAUUGGUGCAGUAACCUCUGUGAUGCUAUGUUCAGGAAGAUGAUGUACCUGUGCAAUGCAUACAUCAGGGUUGAAAUGAUACCUUCUGAUGAACAGAACUACAUAUACUCUGUAAACAUGCGAGUAUAUUUAGUUAGUAUUAUUUUUUUUUAUUUCAUGUCAAGAUCUGGAAAGCAUUUCUUCUCAAGUCUGAAAAUGAAGACAGAAAAUCCACAUGCAAAUAACAGGAAAAGUAACAGUAGGAAAAUUGAACGGAGAAGCAAAAUCCUGUCACGCAGAAGUUUAAAGGUUAGUUUAAUCCCAUUACUGUUGCAUAAAGCUUGGUAAUCUUGUGUGUUUCUAUCGUCCUCUUGUGGGAAGGUACAAAGAAUAAAUGACUGCACAGGAUUAAUUUGAGACCCAACUUUGAUGUUUCAUCACAAGCAAACCUAAAUUCCCAACCCACACACAAGAAUGUAAACACAAUU